CCUACGGGAGACAGCAGUGGGGAAUAUUGGACAAUGGGGGCAACCCUGAUCCAGCCAUGCCGCGUGUGUGAAGAAGGCCCUCGGGUUGUAAAGCACUUUCAGUGAGGAAGAACGCCUGGUGGUUAAUACCCAUCAGGAAAGACAUCACUCACAGAAGAAGCACCGGCUAACUCCGUGCCAGCAGCCGCGGUAAUACGGAGGGUGCGAGCGUUAAUCGGAAUUACUGGGCGUAAAGCGCGCGUAGGUGGCUUGAUAAGCCGGUUGUGAAAGCCCCGGGCUCAACCUGGGAACGGCAUCCGGAACUGGCAAGCUAGAGUGCAGGAGAGGAAGGUAGAAUUCCCGGUGUAGCGGUGAAAUGCGUAGAGAUCGGGAGGAAUACCAGUGGCGAAGGCGGCCUUCUGGACUGACACUGACACUGAGGUGCGAAAGCGUGGGUAGCAAACAGGAUUAGAUACCCUGGUAGUC
rnacentral:rRNA from 1 species